GAUCGAACGCUGGCGACAUGCCUAACACAUGCAAGUCGAACGGCAGCACAGUGUGUAGCAAUACACAUGGGUGGCGAGUGGCGGACGGGUGAGGGAAUACAUAGGAAUCUGCCUUGUAGCGGGGGAUAGUCCGGGGAAACUCGGGGUAAUACCGCAUACGACCUACGGGUGAAAGAGGGGAGUCGCAAGACCUCUCACUAUAAGAUGAGCCUAUGUCCGANAGCUAGUUGGUGGGGUAAAGGCCUACCAAGGCGACGAUCGGUAGCUGGUCUGAGAGGACGACCAGCCACAUCGGAACUGAGACACGGUCCGAACUCCUACGGGAGGCAGCAGGUGGGGAAUAUUGGACAAUGGGCGAAAGCCUGAUCCAGCAAUGCCGCGUGUGU
rnacentral:rRNA from 1 species